rnacentral:rRNA from 1 species
AUUGAACGCUGGCGGCAUGCUUUACACAUGCAAGUCGAACGGUAACAGCACUUCGGUGGCUGACGAGUGGCGAACGGGUGAGUAAUACAUCGGAACGUGCCUAGUAGUGGGGGAUAACUACUCGAAAGAGUAGCUAAUACCGCAUGAGAUCUAAGGAUGAAAGCAGGGGACCUUCGGGCCUUGCGCUACUAGAGCGGCUGAUGGCAGAUUAUGUAGUUGGUGGGAUAAAAGCUUACCAAGCCGACGAUCUGUAGCUGGUCUGAGAGGACGACCAGCCACACUGGGACUGAGACACGGCCCAGACUCCUACGGGAGGCAGCAGUGGGGAAUUUUGGACAAUGGGCGCAAGCCUGAUCCAGCAAUGCAGCGUGCAGGAUGAAGGCCUUCGGGUGUAAACUGCUUUUGUACGGAACGAAAAGCCCUCUUCUAAUACAGGAGGGUCAUGACGGUACCGUAAGAAUAAGCACCGGCUAACUACGUG